UCUAAUAUGGCAGAUUAGUGCAAUGAAUUUAAGAUUC
rnacentral:tRNA from 1 species